CAGUCGAACGGACGAUGAAGAGCUUGCUCUUCAGAGUUAGUGGCGGACGGGUGCGUUUCGCGUGGGUAACCUGCCUCAUACAGGGGGAUAGCAGCUGGAAACGGCUGAUAAAACCGCAUAAGCACACAGCAUCGCAUGAUGCAGUGUGAAAAACUCCGGUGGUAUGAGAUGGACCCGCGUCUGAUUAGCUGGUUGGUGAGGUAACGGCCCACCAAGGCGACGAUCAGUAGCCGGCCUGAGAGGGUGACCGGCCACAUUGGGACUGAGACACGGCCCAAACUCCUACGGGAGGCAGCAGUGGGGAAUAUUGCACAAUGGGGGAAACCCUGAUGCAGCGACGCCGCGUGAAGGAAGAAGUAUCUCGGUAUGUAAACUUCUAUCAGCAGGGAAGAUAAUGACGGUACCUGACUAAGAAGCCCCGGCUAACUACGUGCCAGCAGCCGCGGUAAUACGUAGGGGGCAAGCGUUAUCCGGAUUUACUGGGUGUAAGGGGAGCGUAGGCGGCGGAGCAAGUCAGAAGUGAAAGCCCGGGGCUCAACCCCGGGACGGCUUUUGAAACUGCCCUGCUUGAUUUCAGGAGAGGUAAGCGGAAUUCCUAGUGUAGCGGUGAAAUGCGUAGAUAUUAGGAGGAACACCAGUGGCGAAGGCGGCUUACUGGACUGACAAUGACGCUGAGGCUCGAAAGCGUGNGGAGCAAACAGGAUUAGAUACCCUGNUAGUCCACGCCGU
rnacentral:rRNA from 1 species